ensembl:lncRNA
GAACCUAAAGGAUGAAGUAAUAAAAAAUGUAAAUGAACACAAGCAAAGUAUUGUAGAGGAUAUAUAUGCUCAAAUAAAAAAAGAAGAAAAACCAUUUUUAGAAGAUUUAAAAAAAUAUAUAAUUGAUAUAAAGAGUAAUGAUAACGAUAAAAAUAAAGAUGCUAUGUUACAGUCAUAUAAUAAUACAGAAAAAUUAAUACAAUCUGAAUUUGUUUACCAAUCCGAAUUUCAAAAUAAUAUUGCUGAUGUUACAGCUUUAGCAAUCAAAGAAAAUGAGACAUACCAAAAAAAAAAUACAAAAAUAUUUUUUUUUAUUAAAAUGUAAAGAUGAAAAAAUUAAGACGGCAUGUGAAAUAAACUCAAAAAAUGUUAUAUCGUUUAUUACGUUCAUAAGAAAUCAAAUGGAUGGAUACAAACUAUACUUACAAGACGUUUUAAAUAAAAUUAGAAAUGAUCUGAAUUUAAGGAGAAAGUGCUUAUUAAGCAACAACAGACAGAUUGUUGAUGAUUUCAUGAGGAUGCGAAAUAUGAAUGCAAGCUAUUUCCUUGACGAAAUACAGUACCAAAAAAGAUUAGAUGAAAAAAUAAAAGAUACAUAUGAGCAAAUUCAUUUGAACUUGAAGAAGAAAAAUGAAAUGCUUGAAGCUAACUUAAAUAUGAACAUGCAACAUUUACAAGAAAUAAAUCAGAUAAUAAUGAAAAAAGAAAAAAAAACAUAUGAUAUAAAAUUACUACAACAAAAAAAUGAUAAUAACUUAAAAAUGAUAAAUUUUUAUAAACUCGAAAUAAAUAAAUUAAGAGAAGCUCUAUUAUCAGUGAAAACUUAUUAUUACAACUAUAGAAUUAAAUCAAAAAAAAACAUUAACGAAUUAAUGAUUCAAUAUGAGAGAAUAAAAUUUCAAUUUAUUGAAUUACAAAAGAGACAAAAAAGUUAUGAACAAAAUUUUCAAAAAAAAUACACAAAUGCUUGGAACUUGCAAAAAAACGAGGCCAACAAGCACAUUGAAAAAUUAAUAAAUGCAAAUAAAAUAAUUCACGAACAAAUCCUUUUAAAAGAAUUUCAUCAAACUAAUUAUAAACAAUUGAUAGAAGAUAACAGCAGUUUAAUUUCAACAACCGUUAAAGAUCAUGAAAUCCCUCAAACAGAGUUAAAUACAAAACGUGUUAAUAUACAACAUAUUGAAAAUGUUAAGAAGCUACUUCUGCAAGAAUGCAAUUUCCUAGUCGAAGACGAUAUCGAUGACGAACAACAAAAAAUAAAAAAACUAUUAAAAUACAUAGGUGUGUAUACACAAGAAGAUUUAGAACUACUAACACAAUUGUUUUAUUUAGAUUAUGAGCACGAAAAUGACAGUAACAAUAAUAACAACAAAGAGAGUGACCAUAAUGCGAUAAAAUAUAAUUCAGAAUAUACAUUAGAUAUAAUUUAUAAGUAUUAUCAAGAAAAAGAAAAAGAAAAUGCUUGUAAAAUAACAAAGAAUAAACAACAAUAUAAAAAUAGGUUAAAUAUUUCUUUAAAGUUAAUAAUUGAGAGAAGAAAAAAAGAAAAAGAGUUCUGGGAAAACUUAACGCAUAUUACAUCUAAUGAUAUGAUAGAAAUGUGGAAGACAUUCUCAGUUUUUGUGGAAAAGUAUUACUAUAUAUUAAAAGAUCGAGCAACUAUUGUCCAAAAUAUUUUUAAUGAAGAAAAAUUAAUCAUUGAAAAUAAAAACAAAAUUGAAAACAUGCGUGAAGCUUUAUCCAAGCUAUAAACAAGUAAAGAUUCAUAUAUUUUGUUUUUAAAGAUUUAAACCUUGUUUAGUGUAAUAAAAUAAAAAUGCAGAAGUCUGUAUUGAGAAAG